GAAUAUUGGACAAUGGGCGCAAGCCUGAUCCAGCCAUGCCGCGUGAGUGAUGAAGGUCUUAGGAUUGUAAAGCUCUUUCAACGGUGAAGAUAAUGACGGUAACCGUAGAAGAAGCCCCGGCUAACUUCGUGCCAGCAGCCGCGGUAAUACGAAGGGGGCUAGCGUUGUUCGGAAUUACUGGGCGUAAAGCGCGCGUAGGCGGGUAUUUAAGUCAGGGGUGAAAUACCAGAGCUCAACUCUGGAACUGCCUUUGAUACUGGGUACCUAGAGUCCGGAAGAGGUGAGUGGAAUUGCGAGUGUAGAGGUGAAAUUCGUAGAUAUUCGCAGGAACACCAGUGGCGAAGGCGGCUCACUGGUCCGGUACUGACGCCGAGGUGCGAAAGCGUGGGGAGCAAACAGG
rnacentral:rRNA from 1 species